rnacentral:rRNA from 1 species
GCUCCCGGAUGUUAGCGGCGGACGGGUGAGUAACACGUGGGUAACCUGCCUGUAAGACUGGGAUAACUCCGGGAAACCGGAGCUAAUACCGGAUAGUUCCUUGAACCGCAUGGUUCAAGGAUGAAAGACGGUUUCGGCUGUCACUUACAGAUGGACCCGCGGCGCAUUAGCUAGUUGGUGAGGUAACGGCUCACCAAGGCGACGAUGCGUAGCCGACCUGAGAGGGUGAUCGGCCACACUGGGACUGAGACACGGCCCAGACUCCUACGGGAGGCAGCAGUAGGGAAUCUUCCGCAAUGGACGAAAGUCUGACGGAGCAACGCCGCGUGAGUGAUGAAGGUUUUCGGAUCGUAAAGCUCUGUUGUUAGGGAAGAACAAGUGCAAGAGUAACUGCUUGCACCUUGACGGUACCUAACCAGAAAGCCACGGCUAACUACGUGCCAGCAGCCGCGGUAAUACGUAGGUGGCAAGCGUUGUCCGGAAUUAUUGGGCGUAAAGGGCUCGCAGGCGGUUUCUUAAGUCUGAUGUGAAAGCCCCCGGCUCAACCGGGGAGGGUCAUUGGAAACUGGGAAACUUGAGUGCAGAAGAGGAGAGUGGAAUUCCACGUGUAGCGGUGAAAUGCGUAGAGAUGUGGAGGAACACCAGUGGCGAAGGCGACUCUCUGGUCUGUAACUGACGCUGAGGAGCGAAAGCGUGGGGAGCGAACAGGAUUAGAUACCCUGGUAGUCCACGCCGUAA